AGAGAGAGAGAGAGAGAGAGAGCGUCUCUCCCCAGUCAGGCUGCCACGCACACCGCUGCGUGCCCUCCCGCCGGCAUAGCUCCCCCGGCUCCUCCGCUGCCUCCCGCGAACCAGCGGCGCGUAAUCUGCGUGGAAACGCCGCGUUUUAGGGCGUGAGGGCGGAAGUUUGGGUGAGCGGAGCGGCGCGGAGGACGGGAGGAGACGAUGAUGAUUACUACUAUUUCCGAAGUGCUGUCCGCGGCCGCAAUCCUCCCUGCCGAGCGCCCGGCGCUUUUCACGGAGGAUUUGGCCCCGCCGGCCUCCUGCCCUGCCCAAUCUCUCUGCACACUGUGCUCAGGGGCUGCCGGUGGAGGGAAGUAUGGCCAUGGCGAAAUGGGACUUUUCUUUCUCUCUUCCCUGCCUCCCUCCAGCAAGAUUGAAACGCCGUGAAGAGAAAUGAAAACCUGCAGAACGCUUUCCCAAAUAAUUUAGGUGAAAAUUUGAGUACAGAAAUAUGCAUAUAUAUACCCCCGUAAGAAAAAAAAAGAUGGAUUGAAUUUAG
rnacentral:lncRNA from 1 species